UUUAAUAUUUCGGUAUUUCGGGUUCGGGUUCGGUACUUAUAAUUUUCCCAUUCGGUAUUCGGUAAAUACCGAAUACCAAAAUUAUUUCUAUUGGGCCUCCUAAAAAUGUCUUUUAAACAUAAAGGGCUAUAGGCCCAUUCCUACAAUUUAACUAAUGAAGUCCACUACUCCAGCCCAAUUGUCCCUAACAGGCUAACACAUUACACACUAACACUUAACCUAAUCACCCCUAUACUUCAAACUUCACAACUUCAGUCUUCACUCUUCAGAUUGAGUCCACCACUUCAGUCUUCACGCCGCCUUCAGCCCUUCAGCUCUUCACGCCUUCACCGCUUCACGCCGCCAUCAGCUUCACGCCGCCUUCAGCUUCACUACUUCACGCCGUCUUGAGUGUGAGAUUCGAUAUCAAUGGAUUUGUGACAGGGUUUGGGAACCCAGACUGGUCAAGGACUCACGAACCUGCUAGUCAGACGUCUACCGUGGUCAAGACACUUGUUGAAGGAGGAGCCACAUGUACUGGAAGAACUGUUGUAGAUGACAUGGCCUUUGGUAUUAGUGGUGAACAAAGACAUUUUGAUACUCCAACAAAUCCGGCUAUGAAGUUGUUGGAGGCCUUUUGAUAUCAAAUAGGAUUAUGGUGCAAUUUGUCUUUGAAUAUCAGGACUUCUGCUGCCUAUUUUUCUGCAGUAUAUAUAAUCAUUCCGAGUAGAGAAAUAAGGUUUGAAGUCAAGGAGCUUUUUAGCUUUGUUUUGUCCUUUUUAUUAUGUCCCAAAAGCCUGGUAUUUCAGUUGAGAAUGUAUUCGAUCCAUUGUUUA